rnacentral:rRNA from 1 species
GAUGAACGCUAGCGGCAGGCCUAAUACAUGCAAGUCGGACGGGAUUCAGGAGCUUGCUUCUGAUGAGAGUGGCGCACGGGUGCGUAACACGUAUGUAACCUACCUUUAUCAGGGGGAUAGCCUCUCGAAAGAGAGAUUAAGCCCGCAUAAAAUCACAGCACAGCAUUGUGUAAUGAUCAAAUAUUUAUAGGAUAAAGAUGGGCAUGCGGAACAUUAGCUAGAUGGCGGGGUAACGGCCCACCAUGGCGACGAUGUUUAGGGGAUCUGAGAGGAUGGCCCCCCACCCUGGUACAGGGACACGGACAAGACUACUACGGGAGGCAGCAGUAAGGAAUAUUGGUCAAUGGGCGGAAGCCUGAACCAGCCAUGCCGCGUGCAGGAAGACGGCCCUACGGGUUGUAAACUGCUUUUAUACGGGAAUAAACCCAGAUACGUGUAUCUGGCUGAAUGUACUGUAAGAAUAAGGAUCGGCUAACCCCGUG